UACGGAGGGUGCAAGCGUUGUUCGGAAUCAUUGGGCGUAAAGCGCGUGUAGGCGGCUUGGCAAGUCGGUUGUGAAAGCCCGGGGCCCAACCCCGGAACUGCAUCUGAAACUGCCUGGCUAGAGUCCCGGAGAGGAAGGCAGAAUUCCCGGUGUAGGGGUGAAAUCCGUAGAUAUCGGGAGGAAUACCAGCGGCGAAGGCGGCCUUCUGGACGGUGACUGACGCUGAGACGCGAAAGCGUGGGGAGCAAUCAGG
rnacentral:rRNA from 1 species